CCUCGCCCGGCCGCCCUGCCCGGCCGCCCGGUCCUCCCCACCCCAAGGUCAGGGCCUCCGCCCUCAAGUUCCUCUCCCACCCCAAGGUCAGGGGCAAGCGGCUAGGGUUUCGCCCGCGUCGCCUCCCACCUCCCGUCCCCGCCCAGGCCGCCAUGUUCCAGCUAGGCUCCGCCCCCGGGAAGGUCUUCUAGGCGUGGCACCGGUGGAAGAUGCUCCUCUCGCUGGGCGUCGCCGGCGCCGGCUACGUGGCCUACCGCUUCUACGACGCGCACCAGAAGCAGCUCGUUCGGGUGGAGCAGCGCCGAGGAGGGGCGUGCCGCCGACGAGAUCAUCAAGAAUCAGUGAGCACACAGACCCAAACCACCACCAGAUUUGUUUUUCUUGUGUAUGUAUUGGUGGGUGAUGCAGGGUACCCUGUGAUGUGCUGCUUAUAGCAAUAUCGUCUUAGCGCUAGCAAACUACAGUAGUUCUGUGAUGCAGAGGAUCUCGGAUACAACCACGCUGCCAUUUGCUAUGCACUACCUACAUUCGCGGAUAAUGGAGGAGCUGGAUACUUUGCACCUGACCGAGAGGCUGCUGCAAGGGUGGAGCGGGCUAGACGACGCUGAAGUAGUCAUCUUCGUCGGUCCCGUCACUGCAUAUGCAUACUCCUUCAAUUUUUCCCUCCUACUGGUGUUGUGAUCUGGAGAAGCUCAAGUAGUCAUCUUCGUCCAUCACGUCACUGCAUACGCAUACGCCUCUGAUUUUUGACUCCUGCUCAAAGGAAUAGGAACAUUUCCCGCAAAAAAAGGAAUAGGACUGUGCUCCUCCCAAAAGACAAAAGCAAGACAAUGCAGACAAUAAAAAUCCAGCACCAACAAUGAAUAGCUGGAGUAAACAAAACAAGCAAACCAAAUCGUGUCGGCCCUCGAGGAAGGGUUGCAGUGUCGAGGAGCAGCAGACAUGUAAAUCUGACUGCAAUUCAUGUCACGGUGGAUGGUUUGAGAGGAGGGAGGCAGAGCAGAGACAAACGGCGCAUUCCGUCAUGCAUGGUGCGUAGACAAGACUGAUGUUGCUCAAAUGCGAGCAUAUGUGCCCAUGUUGAAGGAGUUUUGCCCUCUGUCUAUGACUCAAGUGUCAAUGAUGCCUCUCCAUAUUAUCGCUACCAUGUCUUAUUUGUUUUGGUUGCUCAGCAAAUGUUUUGCUGUACAAGAAUUAGACGACACUGGACCUGUAUAAUUAUGGGCUACUCAUGCAGUUUAUUAUUUAAGU